rnacentral:misc_RNA from 1 species
UAAUAAGUGUUUUAUGGCACUUUUUAAAUCCAUAUCCACCUUGUGUGCAAUGUCAGUCGAUCUUCUUUAUUGGAGGAUCGACCAAACAUCAACCUUUAUCUUUUAACUCUUUGUCUUAAAAAUAUUAUGAAUAAACAAUUCAAAAUA